AAGUCGUAACAAGGUUUCCGUAGGUGAACCUGCGGAAGGAUCAUUAACAAAAGAGUGUGUGAAUGUUUGCUGGGUGUGUGUGUGGGGGCUGUGGUUUAAUGGUUAGGGUUAGGGGCUGUGGAGGGGGAUACUCUCUUGGCUCUUAUGCCUGGCUUUUUCUACUGUUGCUUGCUGUGCACACUCUCGCUCAUUCAUGUACAUUGACCCGGGCCAUUGCUGGUCCGAUACAUUCACGCUUGUUUGUAUGACAGAGUUAUCAUGUGACAUAAAAAGUAUAUACAACUUUUAACAAUGGAUCUC
rnacentral:misc_RNA from 1 species